CUACUGGACGCCCCAGAGUAAUGUAUCGAAUGAGACGUCCACGGCUAAAAACCUUCCAGCGCACCAUUUCAGCACAGGACACUCUAGCUUACGCCACAGCUUUACUGAAUGAGAAGGAUCAGUCCGGCAGCAGUAAUGGAUCUGACGGCAGUCCAGCCAAUGAGAACUCAGACCGAAGCCUCAGACAGGGAUCCGAAUCCCCAAUGAUGCUGGGCGACUCCCGGAGUGAUCUAGAAGACGUGGACCCAUAAGCGCAGCCGUUUGUAUGCAACAAAA